rnacentral:rRNA from 1 species
CCCGGUGACUUUACCGCGGGGGCCACACCCGUUCCCAUCCCGAACACGGUCGUUAAGCCCCGCCGGGCCGAUGCUACUGCGCUGGUAACGGCGUGGGAAAGUAGGUCGUCGCCGGGU